AAUCAACGCUGGCGGCGUGCCUAACACAUGCAAGUCGAACGAGAAAGUGGAGCAAUCCAUGAGUAAAGUGGCGACCGGGUGAGUAACACGUGACUAACCUACCCUCGAGUGGGGAAUAACGCCGGGAAACCGGCGCUAAUACCGCAUAACAUCGCAAGAUCAAAGCAGCAAUGCGCUUGAGGAGGGGGUCGCGGCCGAUUAGUUAGUUGGUAGGGUAACGGCCUACCAAGACGAAGAUCGGUAGCCGGCCUGAGAGGGCGCACGGCCACA
rnacentral:rRNA from 1 species